AUCAAUGGAAGAUAAAUGACCCAGUUCAUUGAAAAUCCAGCUGGAGAUGGAGUACUAGAUGAGUUGCUUUAGGAAGAAAAUGGCUGAUUGAGGAUGUUUUUGUAAUGUGCUUUCUGUGCCACACUUUGAUUCUUACAGAAUGGGUAAACCGUGAACACGCAGGAUUCCCCAUGUGUCAAAUCAAAGUCAAUUAAACAGGAGAGGAUUUCUCCCAAGUAUGACUUUGGCUGUAGCCCAAAUGUCUGUUGGAUUAGUUGAGAACCACGGUGCCAAGGACAUCUGGCACUUUUGGCAGGAGAAUUAUAAGUUCAGAAGGCCAAGCCGUCCACCUCACUGUUAUGAAUAGCGCACAAUAAUGGAGCUCGUCAGAGGAAGCAGUAACGAGAGAGGUCCGGACUGUUUGCAGUAUGGUAAAUGGGUUCACUUACACUUCUCAUGCAUAUUCAAUAAGGCUUUGACGGAAGGUUUAAAUAAACAUGAUGCAAUUACUUUAGGGAAAACCACAAUAUACUGAAUAUUGUAUGGAUUUCAAUAAUGAAUGAGUAAAAUCUUGUUUUUUAUAAAGUACUUUUUUCACAUAAUGUAUUUGUAAAAAAAUUAAAUAAUAAUAAUAAAUAAAUCAGUGCUAUUUGUUUUGAUCUUCCAUGUGUGAACUUUAAGCUCUGAUUAUUCUGUGGUGUUUGGGUCUCUUCUUUAAUAGGCAAAGCUUUUUUCUGUAAAUGCACUGUAGCAUAAAAGAGCUCUGAUGAAUAAAAGGAUUAAAAUACCUUGCAGUUGCACUCAGCCUAUAAUAAAAACCAUUUCGGAGCAAUGAUCCACGUUAUUAUAGAUUAUUUUAUGGCCAUAAUAAUUUAGGCUUAUUACCCAAGUUUUUUUUUUUUUUUUUAAGGAAAGAAUAUUAUACCAAAAUUAAGUGUUCAAAAAUUAACUGUUGAAAUAAUUCAAAGUUAUAAAUAAAAUCAUUCCAUGUGCAGAGAUGAAAUAAUGUUUGUUUAUGGCAUUAAUGUAAAACAGGGUCAGCCAAAAAUGUUUUACAACUUAAAAAAUGUAUACAUUAAUCAGAGGGCAUAUGAAAAUCUUUAUCGCAUGACUAAAUAUCAGGUGUAUCAGGUGUUUCAUUCUUGCUCUCAUUUCACAUAAUAUUUCGGUGGGGGGCGGCUCUUAGUUCACUCACUAAGAGAGGGCAGUGGUGGCUUGACGGUUAAGGCUCUGGCUUACUGAUCAGAAGGUUGGGGGUUCAAGCCCCAGCACUGCCAGGCUGCCACUGUUGGGCCCUUGAGCAAGGCCCUUAACCCUCUCUGCUCCAAGGGUGCUGCAUCAUGGCUGACCCUGACUCUGACCCCAGCAUCCUAACAUGCUGGGGUAUGUGAAGAAAAG
ensembl:lncRNA